rnacentral:rRNA from 1 species
AGAUUAAGUUAUUAAGGGCGCACGGUGGAUGCCUUGGCACUAGAAGCCGAUGAAGGACGUUACUAACGACGAUAUGCUUUGGGGAGCUGUAAGUAAGCUUUGAUCCAGAGAUUUCCGAAUGGGGAAACCCAGCAUGAGUUAUGUCAUGUUAUCGAUAUGUGAAUACAUAGCAUAUCAGAAGGCACACCCGGAGAACUGAAACAUCUUAGUACCCGGAGGAAGAGAAAGAAAAUUCGAUUCCCUUAGUAGCGGCGAGCGAAACGGGAAGAGCCCAAACCAAAAAGCUUGCUUGUUGGGGUUGUAGGACACUCUAUACGGAGUUACAAAGGACGACAUUAGACGAAUCAUCUGGAAAGAUGAAUCAAAGAAGGUAAUAAUCCUGUAGUCGAAAAUGUUGUCUCUCUUGAGUGGAUCCUGAGUACGACGGAGCACGUGAAAUUCCGUCGGAAUCUGGGAGGACCAUCUCCUAAGGCUAAAUACUCUCUAGUGACCGAUAGUGAACCAGUACCGUGAGGGAAAGGUGAAAAGCACCCCGGAAGGGGAGUGAAAUAGAACCUGAAACCGUGUGCUUACAAGUAGUCAGAGCCCGUUAAUGGGUGAUGGCGUGCCUUUUGUAGAAUGAACCGGCGAGUUACGAUUUGAUGCAAGGUUAAGCAGUAAAUGUGGAGCCGUAGCGAAAGCGAGUCUGAAUAGGGCGUUUAGUAUUUGGUCGUAGACCCGAAACCAGGUGAUCUACCCUUGGUCAGGUUGAAGUUCAGGUAACACUGAAUGGAGGACCGAACCGACUUACGUUGAAAAGUGAGCGGAUGAACUGAGGGUAGCGGAGAAAUUCCAAUCGAACCUGGAGAUAGCUGGUUCUCUCCGAAAUAGCUUUAGGGCUAGCCUCAAGUGAUGAUUAUUGGAGGUAGAGCACUGUUUGGACGAGGGGCCCCUCUCGGGUUACCGAAUUCAGACAAACUCCGAAUGCCAAUUAAUUUAACUUGGGAGUCAGAACAUGGGUGAUAAGGUCCGUGUUCGAAAGGGAAACAGCCCAGACCACCAGCUAAGGUCCCAAAAUAUAUGUUAAGUGGAAAAGGAUGUGGCGUUGCCCAGACAACUAGGAUGUUGGCUUAGAAGCAGCCAUCAUUUAAAGAGUGCGUAAUAGCUCACUAGUCGAGUGACACUGCGCCGAAAAUGUACCGGGGCUAAACAUAUUACCGAAGCUGUGGAUUGUCCUUUGGACAAUGGUAGGAGAGCGUUCUAAGGGCGUUGAAGCAUGAUCGUAAGGACAUGUGGAGCGCUUAGAAGUGAGAAUGCCGGUGUGAGUAGCGAAAGACGGGUGAGAAUCCCGUCCACCGAUUGACUAAGGUUUCCAGAGGAAGGCUCGUCCGCUCUGGGUUAGUCGGGUCCUAAGCUGAGGCCGACAGGCGUAGGCGAUGGAUAACAGGUUGAUAUUCCUGUACCACCUAUAAUCGUUUUAAUCGAUGGGGGGACGCAGUAGGAUAGGCGAAGCGUGCGAUUGGAUUGCACGUCUAAGCAGUAAGGCUGAGUAUUAGGCAAAUCCGGUACUCGUUAAGGCUGAGCUGUGAUGGGGAGAAGACAUUGAGUCUUCGAGUCGUUGAUUUCACACUGCCGAGAAAAGCCUCUAGAUAGAAAAUAGGUGCCCGUACCGCAAACCGACACAGGUAGUCAAGAUGAGAAUUCUAAGGUGAGCGAGCGAACUCUCGUUAAGGAACUCGGCAAAAUGACCCCGUAACUUCGGGAGAAGGGGUGCUCUUUAGGGUUAACGCCCAGAAGAGCCGCAGUGAAUAGGCCCAAGCGACUGUUUAUCAAAAACACAGGUCUCUGCUAAACCGUAAGGUGAUGUAUAGGGGCUGACGCCUGCCCGGUGCUGGAAGGUUAAGAGGAGUGGUUAGCUUCUGCGAAGCUACGAAUCGAAGCCCCAGUAAACGGCGGCCGUAACUAUAACGGUCCUAAGGUAGCGAAAUUCCUUGUCGGGUAAGUUCCGACCCGCACGAAAGGCGUAACGAUUUGGGCACUGUCUCAACGAGAGACUCGGUGAAAUCAUAGUACCUGUGAAGAUGCAGGUUACCCGCGACAGGACGGAAAGACCCCGUGGAGCUUUACUGUAGCCUGAUAUUGAAAUUCGGCACAGCUUGUACAGGAUAGGUAGGAGCCUUUGAAACGUGAGCGCUAGCUUACGUGGAGGCGCUGGUGGGAUACUACCCUAGCUGUGUUGGCUUUCUAACCCGCACCACUUAUCGUGGUGGGAGACAGUGUCAAGCGGGCAGUUUGACUGGGGCGGGCGCCUCCUAAAAGGUAACGGAGGCGCUCAAAGGUUCCCUCAGAAUGGUUGGAAAUCAUUCAUAGAGUGUAAAGGCAUAAGGGAG